CCUACGGGUGGCAGCAGUGGGGAAUAUUGGGCAAUGGGCGCAAGCCUGACCCAGCAACGCCGCGUGAAGGAAGAAUGCUUUCGGGUUGUAAACUUCUUUUCUCAGGGACGAAGCAAGUGACGGUACUUGAGGAAUACGCCACGGCUAACUACGUGACAGCAGCCGCGGGAAUACGUAGGUGGCAAGCGUUAUCCGGAUUUACUGGGUGUAAAGGGAGUGUAGGCGGGACUGUAAGUCAGCUGUGAAAACAAGGGGCGCAACCUAUGUCCUGCAUUUGAAACUGGAGUUCUUGAGUACUGGAGAGGCAGACGGAAUUCGUGGUGUAGCGGUGAAAUGCGUAGAUAUUAGGAGGAACACCGGUGGCGAAGGCAGUCUGCUGGACAGCAACUGACGCUGAGGCGCGAAAGCGUGGGGAGCAAACAGGAUUAGAUACCCGAGUAGUC
rnacentral:rRNA from 1 species